UACGUAGGGUGCGAGCGUUAAUCGGAAUUACUGGGCGUAAAGCGUGCGCGGGCGGUUUGUUAAGUCAGAUGUGAAAUCCCCGGGCUUAACCUGGGAACUGCAUUUGUGACUGGCAAGCUAGAGUAUGGCAGAGGGGGGUAGAAUUCCACGUGUAGCAGUGAAAUGCGUAGAGAUGUGGAGGAAUACCGAUGGCGAAGGCAGCCCCCUGGGCCAAUACUGACGCUCAUGCACGAAAGCGUGGGGAGCAAACAGG
rnacentral:rRNA from 1 species